GUGCUUGCUUUGGCAGCACAUAUACUAAAAUUGGAAUAAUACAGAGAAGAUUAGCAUGGUCCCUAUGCAAGGAUAACAAACAAACAAACAAAAAAAACAGUGUGGUAUU
ensembl:snRNA U6 U6 spliceosomal RNA